rnacentral:rRNA from 1 species
GACGAACGCUGGCGGCGUGCCUAAUACAUGCAAGUAGAACGCUGAAGCGAGGAGCUUGCUCUUCUUGGAUGAGUUGCGAACGGGUGAGUAACGCGUAGGUAACCUGCCUGGUAGCGGGGGAUAACUAUUGGAAACGAUAGCUAAUACCGCAUAAAAUUGAUUAUUGCAUGAUAAUUAAUUGAAAGAUGCAACUGCAUCACUACCAGAUGGACCUGCGUUGUAUUAGCUAGUUGGUGAGGUAACGGCUCACCAAGGCGACGAUACAUAGCCGACCUGAGAGGGUGAUCGGCCACACUGGGACUGAGACACGGCCCAGACUCCUACGGGAGGCAGCAGUAGGGAAUCUUCGGCAAUAGGGGGAACCCUGACCGAGCAACGCCGCGUGAGUGAAGAAGGUUUUCGGAUCGUAAAGCUCGGUUGUAAGAGAAGAACGGGUGUGAGAGUGGAAAGUUCACACUGUGACGGUAUCUUACCAGAAAGGGACGGCUAACUACGUG